ACAGGCGCCAAGGAGCCAGUCCGCGGCGAAGCAGGAGCUCGCCGCGAAGAGGCUGGCGGUGAGUACCUUGGUCAAACACCAAGAACCAUGACUUUGAAAGUACGAGUUCCUGAAGUAUG
rnacentral:lncRNA from 1 species